UAGUGUUUCCUUUGUCUUUGCUCUUUAAAAGCUUCAGUUGCUGCUCAAAUGAGGUAACAGGCCUCAUAACACAAGAAGUACAUUUUCAAAACCUAAUGUCCUCUGUCACAGAUGUCAUCCCUGCCACAGGCUCAUUAACACUUCGCAACAGCAAAGCCCUGCCCACAAAGGGAAGGGAUCUAAAGAAGAUACACAAACAAAGGAGGUGAAUGUUAAAAGCAGCUAAUGAGAAGAAAACUCCACCUUCCGAUCGCAGCACUUCAGAACAAGGAGCAUUGCCAAGCACUAAGAACCUGGGGAUUAAAGAGACAAUUUAGGAAGACUUGAUGCAGAGAAUGGAAAUCUCCUGAAAGAGAGAUUCUGGUUUAUCAGCCAGAGAAGGCAUAGAAUGAUAGGACCUGAAGGGACCUCGAGAGGUCAUCUUGUCCAGUCCCCUGCACUCAUGAGGCAUAUCUCAUGAAACAAAGCUCCCCUCUCUGGCCAUUCUUUCAUCUUGGCUCACUCAAGUACUGAACAAUUUCCCUGUAUCUUCCAAGGAGAACAUUUACCAAUGACACCAAUGUGGGCCCAGUAGCAUACAACAGCAUAUCAACAUUUACUGGAGAAGAGUUCGAUGAACGCCAUUGGCCUGAGACAGGUAGUAUGCCUAUCAUAUUCUAUUGUCAAAGGAACAAGGAGACAUGCAGCGAAUUAAUGUAGGUAAGUAUUAUUUUCUGUGAAUGAAGGUGUGCAUCAGUUAUAAGUAUCCAUUGUCUCUGUUUAUAUAUGAAUUACUUUAUGGAUUGUUCUGACAGAACUACAGCAACCUCCCUUUAGGCCAUUGCUGAUAUAUUACCUUUGAAAGAGAAUCACAAUUUAUUAGUCCAUACAUAAAGCCAGAGAUAGAUGUGUGCUGGCUUAUUUUGAAAUAUGACAUCAUAUAUAAAACGAAAUAGGGGGAAGCUAAAUUACACAGCUAUAAUUACGUUGAGUUCAGGUGGCAUCGUAAAUAAUCCAUUCACGAUUCGCUCUCAGCGUUUAUUAUGUCACCAAAGCAAUGUAAUUAACACUGUAUAGAUGGGUUAUACUCCCUGGAUCAAACGCAUUGUGGCACAUGUAUAAAAAAAAUAAACAAACGUAGUUCAUCAUUCAUAAAAAUCCAACAGUUGCACGCAUGAGGAUGCGCAAAUGCUGGGAGAAAAAAAACCCCGCAAUUAUUCUUCCAAAUGUUUAAAGCUUUUAUCAUACAAACACAUAAGCACAUGCACCCACUGAGGUUACUCAUGUGGAAAGUUAUGCCUGUGGUUUAGUAGUCACAGUACUGGCACAUAUAUGAUUUUGUGCUGACUGAGUUCAUGCCAGUUUCUAUGUUCUCACUGUGAGUGUUCCCGCAAAAGCAUUUACUAUCAGAUGCAUUAGACAAAACAACAAGUAUUGCAGAAUCUUUCAUGGAAGUGUCUGUUGAAUUUGGA